GAGGAUGCGAGCGUUAUCCGGAUUUAUUGGGUUUAAAGGGUGCGUAGGCGGGCUGCCAAGUCAGCGGUAAAAUUGCGGGGCUCAACCCCGUCGAGCCGUUGAAACUGGUGGUCUUGAGUGGGCGAGAAGUACGCGGAAUGUGUGGUGUAGCGGUGAAAUGCAUAGAUAUCACGCAGAACUCCGAUUGCGAAGGCAGCGUACCGGCGCCCGACUGACGCUGAAGCACGAAAGCGUGGGUAUCGAA
rnacentral:rRNA from 1 species